CAGUUCCAUACACUUAUGUCUGCAUUCCACUUGAGUUGAACCACACUUCAAUAGCAACCACGACACAGCAUCUUUCAGCAAAAUUCCCUCAAACUCUGGUGGCUUCCUACGACGCUUAUCAUCCUCCAAAAAAGAAGACCAUACUACAAAUUCAUGAAGACAUCUAGACGAAAAAUCCCUCAAUGCUGUGUCAGUUGAAUGAGUUAUUCCAUCCUGCAGUUACAAAAUAAUGUUUCAAGUAAAUAACAAGAGUGACGCAAUACUAUCAGCAACAUUCAGCACCAAGAAAGAAAUCAAAGACGAAACACUAGAAGAUCAAAGAUAAAUUAAAGACCAAUAUGUAGAUAUGCCUGUGUCUGAUAUAACAUUGUUUGAAAUUCUGCCUGCAUCAUGCAUCGUUUUAUCAACUGGAGGAAUACCACUUCUGCAAAUUUAAUACUUUGUAAGUUUUUCUUAAUAUACAUCAUUCACUCCCAGGUAAGUCACCAGUGUAAUAUUUUGUUGUUUCCUACAGGAACUACCACAAACAACAUUCUAUCAUAAAAUUUUGUGUUCAACUUGCUACCAUGCAAAAAUUGUAUAGUUGGCCUAAUUAUAUGCUAAAGUCAAAAAAUUCCAAGACUUGACCCUAACACAGCCACACUCAAAGUACUCUCCUUGACCUAAAGUGCCCAGAAUGACAAGCUGUGAAAAUUAACUGUGUCUAGGUCAUGCCUGGUUGGGUUUUUUUAAAAAAAAAGUGUUAACCACUUGUUUCUAGAGACAUUUACCAAACUAAUAGUUUGUUUCAGUGUCAUUAAGUAACUACCUUUAGC